CCUACGGGUGGCUGCAGUCGAGAAUCAUUCACAAUGGGGGAAACCCUGAUGGUGCGACGCCGCGUGGGGGACUGAAGGUCUUCGGAUUGUAAACCCUUGUCAUGUGGGAGCAAAUUAAAAAGUUAGUACAACAAGAAGAAGAGACGGCUAACUCGGGGCCAGAAGCAGCGGUAAUAAGGAGGUCUUAAGCGUUGUUCGGAAUCACUGGGCGUAAAGCGUGCGUAGGCGGUUUCGUAAGUCGUGUGUGAAAGGCGCGGGCUCAACCCGCGGACGGCACGUGAUACUGCGAGACUAGAGUAAUGGAGAGGGAGCCGGAAUUCUGGGUGUAGCAGUGAAAUGCGUAGAUAUCGAGAGGAACACUCGUGGCGAAGGCGGGUUCCUAGACAUUAACUGACGCUGAGGCGCGAAGGCCAGGGGAGCGAAAGGGAUUAGAUACCCGUGUAGUC
rnacentral:rRNA from 1 species